ACGGUGCGAGGCAUGGUGGUCACGCAAGACAAGAAAA
rnacentral:sRNA from 1 species